AUGGAUAGCUGUCCUUUGCUAAUUUGGAAUGUUAGAGGUUUGAACUCGGCUGCUAGGAGAGGUGUGGUUCGGAGAUUAGUGCAGCAGUUUAAUGUAUCGUUCGUGUGCUUUCAAGAGUCCAAGGUUUCAGAGGUUUCCAAAGAGUUUUUCACAGAGUGCUGCGGGCCUGCUUUCACCGGUUUCUGCUUCCAGCCGGCUGUUGGUACUCGGGGAGGGAUUAUCAUGGCCUGGAAAGACGACGAGAUCACUGUCUCCUCGUCGCACUGCACCCCGUCCUUCAUCUCCGCUGCUUGCUGUCAUCGGAGGUCAGGGAAGGCCUGGCGUGUCAUUGGUGUCUACGGACCGUAG
rnacentral:rRNA from 1 species